rnacentral:rRNA from 1 species
CCUACGGGGUGCAGCAGUGGGGAAUAUUGCGCAAUGGGUGAAAGCCUGACGCAGCGACGCCGCGUGAGGGAUGAAGGUCUUCGGAUCGUAAACCUCUGUCAGCAGGGAAGAACGGUCACUGUGCUAAUCAGCAGUGAAUUGACGGUACCUGCAAAGGAAGCACCGGCUAACUCCGUGCCAGCAGCCGCGGUAAUACGGAGGGUGCGAGCGUUAAUCGGAAUUACUGGGCGUAAAGCGCUCGUAGGCGGUAUGUCAAGUCAAGGGUGAAAUCCCCGGGCUCAACGUGGGAACUGCCUUUGAAACUGGCAAACUGGAGUGUGUGAGAGGAUAGUGGAAUUCCAGGUGUAGGAGUGAAAUCCGUAGAUAUCUGGAGGAACAUCAGUGGCGAAGGCGACUAUCUGGAACAUAACUGACGCUGAGGAGCGAAAGCGUGGGUAGCAAACAGGAUUAGAUACCCGAGUAGUC